rfam:Bernardetia litoralis DSM 6794 chromosome, complete genome.
UUAAUAGGUCAUCUUAUCGCUUUCAUAUUUCUUAUAUUUUAAGAAAACGAAAGAGGAAAGUCCGAGCAGCACAGAGCAACAUGCUUCCUAACGGGAAGGCUAUACCAAGUCAAAACAAGUUGUAAGUAUAGACGGAAAGUGUUACAGAAAAUAACCACCUUUUUAUUUAUUUUGAAUAAAAAUGAAUAAAUCGGAAAGGGUGAAAAGGUGUGGUAAGAGCGCACCGACAGAAAAGGUAACUUUUUUGGGCGAAUAAACCCCAUGUGCUGAAAGACCAAAUAAGUCUGCGAAUGUUUUUUUAUUUCUUUAAAAGAAUAAAAAGGCAAAAAAGUUGCUCGCUGGAGCAGAUGGGUAGGUCGUUAAAGCUGUUUUGUGAAACUCAGCGUAGAUAAAUGAUAGGACAGGUUUGUAUUUUCAGUAAUGAAAAUUCAGAUUGGACAGGACUCGGCUUAUAGACUUAUUUUUACA